rnacentral:sRNA from 1 species
UAAUAUCAUUAAAGCAAUCGAUUGGAGGCAGUAUGAGGGAGUUUUAUCUGGCAAGACGUGUGGGGAAUACUUCAACGUGUGAAUCGAGACGAUGGGGUUGAAUUAAGAAGUUGUGACUUGAAGGAGUGUGAAUCCUAUGCUACAUGCGUGUCGUGUUGUCAAAGUCGGUUCCUCCAAACUCGCUCUUCACUCACACAUAUUCUAUACCAUUAUACUCUAUGCUAAUCCAAACUCAUACGUUUUUAUUGCUCCUUCCUUAGCCCAUAUUUUUCCAUUCACCACAUCUCCUUAUAAUAUAUCCUUUCUUUCCAUCAAAUUAGUGUACUCCG